rnacentral:rRNA from 1 species
GAUCAUGGCUCAGGAUGAACGCUAGCUACAGGCUUAACACAUGCAAGUCGAGGGGAAACGACAUCGAAAGCUUGCUUUUGAUGGGCGUCGACCGGCGCACGGGUGAGUAACGCGUAUCCAACCUGCCCAUCACUUGGGAAUAACCUUGCGAAAGUAAGACUAAUACCCAAUGACAUCCAUAGAAGACAUCUGAAAUGGAUUAAAGAUUUAUCGGUGAUGGAUGGGGAUGCGUCUGAUUAGCUUGUUGGCGGGGUAACGGCCCACCAAGGCAACGAUCAGUAGGGGUUCUGAGAGGAAGGUCCCCCACAUUGGAACUGAGACACGGUCCAAACUCCUACGGGAGGCAGCAGUGAGGAAUAUUGGUCAAUGGGCGCAAGCCUGAACCAGCCAAGUAGCGUGAGGGAAGACUGCCCUACGGGUUGUAAACCUCUUUUGUUUGGGAAUAAAGUGCGGGACGUGUCCCGCAUUGCAUGUACCAUUUGAAUAAGGACCGGCUAAUUCCGUG